AAAGAUGGCUCCAGGGCUGACACAUUAUCAUAAAGGUGAUUAUGAUGUAAUAUGGAAUGUCAUAAAACACUUCCUGUGCUGACGUUUAGCUACGCUAUAUAGUUCAACAGGGGUUAUUUUCAAGGCAGAUACAUGUCUCUCGUUAUCUCAACUUUUUGAGUGAAGGCAGUAUAUGAGAAGCUGUGUUGAAGGAAUUGAGGAACCCGGAACAUCUGGAAAUGUUGUGGCAAAGGGAACAUCUGGAAAGGUUCAAUGGGAGAUCAAAACCUCUUCAACCUACAUGCUCACUUAAGUUUAGAUGCAGUCAAAGUUUUCCUCUUACGAGGAUCUUUUCUCUAUUUUUACACCUGAUGAUCAACUGCCAUCAAAAAUUGAACUCAGCUUUCUAAGCAGACUUUGAGAUAAAAGAUCAAAAGAUGUGGAGAGACCUGACUCUAGAAUCACCAAGAGUGGAACAGGACUGAAUGGAUAACAUCACCAUAUCAUAAAAAUGUUGCUUAGUGAUG